rnacentral:rRNA from 1 species
AUAUCAAUAAGCGGAGGAAAAGAAACCAACAGGGAUUGCCCUAGUAACGGCGAGUGAAGCGGCAAAAGCUCAAAUUUGAAAUCUGGCCUUCUGGCCCGAGUUGUAAUUUGCAGAAGGUGCUUCGGGUGCGAAGAUGGUCCAAGUCCUUUGGAACUGGGCGUCAUAGAGGGUGAGAAUCCCGUAUGUGACCGUUUGUCUAUCCCGUGUGAAGCCCUUUCGACGAGUCGAGUUGUUUGGGAAUGCAGCUCUAAAUGGGUGGUAAAUUUCAUCUAAAGCUAAAUACCUGCCAGAGACCGAUAGCGCACAAGUAGAGUGAUCGAAAGAUGAAAAGAACUUUGGAAAGAGAGUUAAACAGUACGUGAAAUUGUUAAAAGGGAAGCGCUUGCAAUCAGACUCGAUUGCAGGAGUUCAGCCAUCCUCUGGGUUGGUGUAUUCUCCUGUGUACGGGCCAGCAUCGGUUUCGACGGUCGGAUAAAGGUUUUGGGAAAGUAGCUCUUCUCGGAGAGUGUUAUAGCCCGAGGCAUAAUGCGUCCUGCCGAGACCGAGGACCGCGCUUUUUGCUAGGAUGCUGGCGUAAUGGUUGCUAGCGACCCGUCUUGAAACACGGACCAAGGAGUCGACCAAUCGCGCGAGUGUUUGGGUGUAAAACCCGAGCGCGCAGUGAAAGCAAACGUAGGUGGGAGCCUCUGGGCGCACCAUCGACCGAUCUUGAUGUCUUCGGAUGGAUUUGAGUAUGAGCACGGUCGGUCGGACCCGAAAGAUGGUGAACUAUGCGUGAAUAGAAUGAAGCCAGGGGAAACCCUGGUGGAAGUUCGCAGCGGUUCUGACGUGCAAAUCGAUCGUCAAAUUUGCGCAUAGGGGCGAAAGACUAAUCGAACCGUCUAGUAGCUGGUUCCUGUCGAAGUUUCCCU